rnacentral:rRNA from 1 species
GACGAACGCUGGCGGCGUGCUCAACACAUGCAAGUCGAACGGUAAGGCCCUUCGGGGUACACGAGUGGCGAACGGGUGAGUAACACGUGGGUGAUCUGCCCUGCACUUCGGGAUAAGCCUGGGAAACUGGGUCUAAUACCGGAUAGGACUCCGGACUGCAUGGUCUGGGGUGGAAAGCUUUUGCGGUGUGGGAUGGGCCCGCGGCCUAUCAGCUUGUUGGUGGGGUGAUGGCCUACCAAGGCGACGACGGGUAGCCGGCCUGAGAGGGUGACCGGCCACACUGGGACUGAGAUACGGCCCAGACUCCUACGGGAGGCAGCAGUGGGGAAUAUUGCACAAUGGGCGCAAGCCUGGUGCAGCGACGCCGCGUGAGGGAUGACGGCCUUCGGGUUGUAAACCUCUUUCAGCAUCGACGAAGCGAAAGUGACGGUAGGUGCAGAAGAAGGACCGGCCAACUACGUGCCAGCAGCCGCCGUAA